UUGAAUUGAAGAGUUUGAUCAUGGCUCAGAUUGAACGCUGGCGGCAGGCUUAACACAUGCAAGUCGAACGGUAACAGGAGAAAGCUUGCUUUCUUGCUGACGAGUGGCGGACGGGUGAGUAAUGCUUGGGAAUCUGGCUUAUGGAGGGGGAUAACUACUGGAAACGGUAGCUAAUACCGCGUAAAGUCUAAGGACUAAAGGGGGCGAAAGCUCUUGCCAUAAGAUG
rnacentral:rRNA from 1 species